UUUCCGUAGGUGAACCUGCGGAAGGAUCAUUAAUGAGUUGUCAUGGGGUUCGAUGCUGGCAGCCAGUUUUUGGAUGCAUGUGCUUGCCCUAACAAUCAUCUUCUUCCAAACACCUGUGCACAUUUUUGAGGGAGUCUUGAGUUGGUUGCCGCUCUUGGGUGAUUUUCUCACAUUCCCUUAAAUCAUUAUACGCUAUUAACAAUGUUGAACGUGCUCUGUGCCGCAAGGCCAUUAAUAUAAUACAACUUUUAACAACGGAUCUCUAGGCUCUC
rnacentral:misc_RNA from 1 species